AUAUAGGAAUGGUGUUUCUGAUGGAGUGACGAAGGAAGUGAGUGACUGAUUGCAAAUUCACUUGAAAAUAAUUCACUACUUUACCCACUUGGACAUGUUUGCAGCAAUUUUCAUAUUUUGCUUGUCUUCGAUUACUCAUCAUGCAAAGGUAUGUUUAUACUCUAAACACUCACAUUUUUAUUUCUUGCGUGAUAUCUGACAAAUAAAAUAAAUAAAUUAGAUUUUUCACAUGCAGCCUCUCAUAUUUUCCUUUUUAGUCUCAAAUAAUCAGACACAUUGAUAUUGUUUACUCCAUUCAAACCAUAUUUUUACCUCAACGAAUAACAUUUAACGCAUAAUUUGUAAAAUUAUCAUUAUAAAUAAGUAUUCUAUAAAAAAAUCAGAAUAUUUAACUAAUACAAUGUCGAAAUUGCUUAGUUAGUUCAAUUUUUAUGUCGGACAAGGGUCCCUUUCGUUGAAAUAUCAAUGAAAGGUGUCUCUAAAAGGACACCGUGUUCUGCUUAAGGGAAAUAAUGAAAAUUUUGAUUUCAUCCAGUUUGUUUUUUAAUCUUUAAAUUUUUUUCUCCGUUUACCUCAUAAAGUAAGCUCCAUACAUUAAUUCUACAAUCCGUAAUAAAUAAAACAUUAUUUGAUCUUCAUUUAUGGAAAUAUAUGAUUUUAUGAAAAAUCGUCAUUCUGAAAUAAAAGGUUCAGGUGACGAUGAAGACUAAAUAUUUUUCUGAUACUAUCGAUAUUAAACGAUGUCGCGGACUUGGAAGACAAAAUUGCCCUCAUGGAACGGAAAGUGCUGAUUUGUCGCCAAUCUUCCUAUCUCGGAAGAAUGGUCCUAGGACAUUCCUUCGUAUCGCUCAUCUCGUCAUGCAACAGGCCCCUGAUCUACAUGUACUUCUCUAAAAAAAACCUUCCUUUCCUUCUUUUUUUCUUCUUCCGGUUGGAGCUUGGAUUUGAACCUCUCGCUGCUAAUCGAGGCAUCUUCAGUCUGUCGCCUUACUCACUGUGCUAGCAGGAAUCGUUGAAAGCCAUGGGUUUCAUAACGGUUAUCAACUGAUAUUACGACUAGUCUACUCUCCAAUAGUAUUGGGUAUUUAUUUUUCUGACUAAAUAAACCGAUGCCAUUGUCAAUUACACACACUCAAGAUUUUGACGGAAUAAAGCCAUAUUUUGGUAUGUAUCCGACUUUUCCUUCCUAAAUCUCUUAGAUAAUUCUUGAUAAACCUCCAUAUUUUUUUUUUCAAUUUUAGUGGAGGGGACAUAUAUGGAAGUCUUGCCCUAAACUGCAACAAACUCCCUCGAAUUUCAGAAGAGGUUUUAUCAAAUAAAAUAAAGUCCUACUACUAGACUAGUUCUACGAAACUUACCAAACGAUGCGAUGUGAAGUGUAUUCCCCCACUCAUUCAAUGAACAAGGUUGUGAUAUAACCUUGUUCUCUGUUAAAUCUCCAUGUGUGGCAAAAUAAGGGUGGCAAUGUUUGGCAUAUUUUCUCUUUUUCUUUGGGACAAAUGCUUGAUUAAGUAAAUUUGAUUCUUUAAUUUUAAAUUAUUUUUUUCUUAAUUAAAAAUAGAGAUUGAAAAAUGAGAAUUUUCUUAUAUUACUUUCCACCAAUAGAGGGCAUACACAAAAUAUGCCCAAAAUUCAAGUUUUUGAGUGCUCUGGUGAAUACAAAAAUUAUUCCCAAGUUACUAAAAAUUGCAACUGUAUGGAAAUUAGUAAUUUUGGUCACAAAAGUGAUAUUUUAAUGAUUUUUUAAAGUGUGUGCUCUGUACAGCAUUGGCAUACCAUAGUGCUACCUGUAGAUUCCCCACAGGCAGGAUGGUUGCCACUCACACGUAUUGCGAGGUUAGUAUUAUACUAACCUCGCACCAUGAACCGCAUUUGGCAGUGGAUAUCUAACUAGUGGGUCGCACGUGCUGUGAUCUCACUUCUGGUGUCCACAACACACGACUUCUAUGGCUUGAUUUUUCUGUGUGCGGCGGCAUGUAAUGAACCCUUGGGUGGAUGGUUGCAGUGAGCUAGUGCUAUUCCCCCUAGUGAUAUGAUGAAUAUCCCUCAAAUAGCAUCAUUUAAGCGUUGAUUUUUCUUCUCUUUGACAAAAUACGGAGCUUGCUUCUAUUUCCCAAAUUUUUCAUCUACUUAAACUCACUUAGCUAAAGACAUGUCAUUAAAGAGGGCGCAUGAAUUAUCUUCAUAUCAAAGACACUAUACAAAGAAAAGACAAGGGCUAGGCAUAAAAACUAUUUUACAUGUGAUGGUGGUGGUGGUGGUGAUUUUUUAACUGAUUGCUAAGAAUAUUAUUUUUCUUAUUUCUUUUAUAUUCAUUCCUUUUUUCUAUGAAAGAAAGAAAAAAAAACAUUUAAAUACAUAUGAAACAAAAAACUGAGGAAUAAGCAAUCAAUAGGGGGAUUACUUCCCGAAAACGAUAUGGUUGUUGAUUGAAGAUCUAUGAGAUAUUAUAUAAAAGAAGAGCUUUCUAACAAGAGGGAUUAAUGUUUUAACAAGUUUUUCGGUACUUAAAAUUCUCAGUGUACCAAGCACCAUAUGUGAUAAAUUCAGCUUUUUUUCUUUUUUUUAGAGAGAGAGAGAGAGAUUAGAGUUACAAUUCCAAUAAUCUCAGUGGCCUAAGAUAUAUUUUCUGGGGUUUACAUAUUGACCCGUAAAGUAAAGACUGAGAGUGAGAGGAUAAAUGUGAUUGCAAGAUUUUAGUCUCCUUCCCAUGUUUUGCUUGUAUCAUAUUUGAAUGAUUCUGAGUUGAAUUUUCAUAAUUUUGUGUGUGGUUGUGGCUCAUUUUAAUAGUGAAUGAAAUAAGCUGAAAUGUGCUUGUCUUCUUUCACAAUUUGAGCUGAGGAUUUGUUUGAUGCAGAGUGUCAUUUCUGCCUAUGAUAUUUCAGUAUGGUCACCUCCAUCAUCCUGUUUGUUUGAUUCACCAUAAAAUGCAUCAUGGAUACUUUUUUAUUUCAACCAUUUUCCAAAGGAAGUUCCUUGUUAAAAAAAUAACUAGAUAACUGUUUUGAAUACUUUGCUUGGUUUUACGCAUUGGAAUCGGGAUAGACUGUAUUUUAUUGUCGUUGACAAGAUAAUAAUUCUUCUGCAAAACAUGUAUAUCAAUUAUCAUCCCAAAGUAGGGUCAGAAACUUUAUUUUAUGCUUUUUAACCCUAAAAUGGCCGGGGGGGGGGUUGAAUCAACCCCCCCCCUCAACAUUUUCUGCGAUCAUUCCGCCGCGCGAAUUUUUUUGACCACGUCACUCUCAGAGUUUAUACUUUUAAGUCUCGCGCAUCUUUUAAGACCAAAUUUACGAUGCCCGGGUACGCGGUUCCGAAAUUACGCAACAUUUUGUAAGUGCAUGUCAGACCAAAAAUUGUUCCAAAACGUGAUUUUGUGUACAAAGUCAAUGCAAAUUGAGUUUUCUCAUCUUAUUCAUAAAGAUAUGAUUAU